rnacentral:rRNA from 1 species
UACGGGGGGGGUAAGCGUUGUUCGGAAUUACUGGGCGUAAAGGGCUCGUAGGCGGACCACCAAGUCGGACGUGAAAGCCCUGAGCUCAACUCAGGAACUGCAUCCGAAACUGGCGGUCUGGAGUAGUGGAGAGGAAAGCAGAAUUCCUGGUGUAGAGGUGAAAUUCGUAGAUAUCAGGAGGAACACCGGUGGCGAAGGCGGCUUUCUGGACACUUACUGACGCUGAGACGCGAAAGCGUGGGGAGCAAACAGG